rnacentral:lncRNA from 1 species
CCAAAUUCAGUUGCUUCUAAAUUGCCGUUGUGGGAGAGUAAGGUAUCGCUUGAUCCGACUUUUUUCCAACUUCUCUACAUUUUUAAGGAGAAGUUAGGUCAAACACACUAUCAAUUAUUUUAAUUUCAUUAUUGUUUAAUCAUCACAACCUCACAAAUAUUUUAAUUUACACUGUCAUUUAAUGAUACCAAAUACUAUUAUUUCCUUUCUCCAACCUCGCAAAUAUUUACAUACACACAUUAACGUAUAGAGUAAUAUUUUAUGUUCGUCUGUCUGUGUUUUUGUUACGUUGAUGCAUAUAAUUUUUUUUAGUGUUGCUUGGUUGAGUGCUACCUCACCGAUUUUUUUUAACUAUUUUCCAAUUUUUCCUCCCAAAUUCAGUUGCUUCUACACUGCCAUUGUGGGAGAUUAAGAUACCGUUUGACCCGGUUUUUUUUUUUACUUCUCUACAUUUUUAAAAAGAAGUUAGGUCAAACACAAUAUCAAUUAAAUACUUACUAGAAAGGGAACAUUUUUUAAUGCAUAGAAUUGGAUGGAAUGAGCUUUGGCCAAAAGUUGUUGAAUGCUACUUUAAAAAACUACUUCUCGAUAAUAUAUUUCACAAGCACCUCUUUUCAACUCACGAUGGGAACCUUUUCUUUUAUUUUUUAAUAUUAUAUUUCAAUAUAUUUUCUUUUCAUUUAACUUUAUUUUAUUUUAUUUUUUUAACAGUUCCAUUUAAUUUUAUUUUAUUUUUUUCAAAAGAUUUUUAUUAUCUUUUUAUCACUUAUAUAUUUAAUUUCAAUAUUAUUUAAUCAUCACAACCUCACAUAUAUUUUUAUUCACGCUGUCAUUUAAUGAUACCAAAUAUUUUUAUUUCCUUUCUUCAACCUCACGAAUAUAAACACACACACAUUAACGUUUAAAGUAAUAUUUUAUGUCCAUCUGUCUGUUUUUUGUUACGCUAAUGCAUAUAAUUUUUUUUAGUAUUGCUUGGUUGAGUGCUACCUCACCAAAUUUUAUUAACUAUUUUCCAAUUUUCAUAUUUUUAAAAACUUCUGACAAUUUUCCAAUUUUUUUAUUUUUAACUAUUUUCUAAUUUUUUUCUCACAAAUUCAGUUGCUUCUACACUGCAGUUGUGGGAGAUUAAGAUACCGUUUGACCCUUUUUUUUUUUCUUCAACUUCUCUACAUUUUUAAGAAGUUAGGCCAAGUACAAUAUCAAUUAAGUACUUACUAAAAAAUGUACUUUUUUUAAGGCAUAAAAUUGAAUUGAUGAGCUUUGGCCAAAAGUUGUUGAAUGCUACUUCAAAAAACUAUUUCUCGACAAUGUAUUUCACAAUCAUCUCUCUUCAAUUCACGUUGGGAACCUUUUCUUUUAUUUUCAUAUAUUAUAUUUCAAUAUCUUUUUUUCUUCCAUUUAAUUUUUUUUUAGCCGUUCCAUUUAAUUUUUUAAAGGAGGUUCCAUUUAAUUUUAUUACCUUUUUUCAAAGAUAUUUUAUUAUCUUUUUAUCACUUAUAUGUUUAAUUUAAAUAUCGUUUAAUAAUAACAACCUCACAAAUAUUUUUAUUUACGCUAUCAUUUAAUGAUACAAAAUAUUUUUAUUUUCUUUCUUCAACCUCGCAAAUAUACAAACACACAUAUUAGUGUUUAGAGUAAUACUUUUUGUGUGUCUGUUUUUUUGUUACGCUAAUGCGUAUAAUUUUUAUAAAAUUUUGAUUUUAAUUAAAAGUAAAAUUGUAGAUGUCUUUUCUUCAAAAAAGGUAUAGAUGCCUAAAAAAAUUAUGCUUAUGUUAUAUAUAUAUAUAUAUAUAUAUAUAUAUAUACACACACACACACAUAAAAGGUAUAGAUGCCUAAAAAAAUUAUACUUAUCUUUUAAAUAUAUAUUGCACCUUUAUAUCGUAACAAACUAUACAUAUCUUUUUCUUAUUCAAAAAAACUAAAUAUUGCUAAAUAGAAAAGGUAUUAUUUUCUAUUUUGUCAACAUCAGAUGAUAGUAUUUUGUAUAAGUUUGAUAAUGACCCGAAAAAUAUCUUUCCUUAUGUAGUGGGAAUAUAGUUGAUGCAACACUAUGGGAAAAAUACUCCGUAGCUUUAUCAUUUACCAUCUAUUUACCUUGAGUUCCUUGCUUCCAUUUUGUAGUCAAUGGCAACCCAAAUAUAUGUAACAAUUGGUCAGGUUCGAGGUUGCUCAUCAACCUACAUCAUCCGGUUGUUGAGAAGUUUAAGACUUAGUAAGUUUGCAUUAUGAUUUCACAAUACAGUGUUAGAGUAACUUAUUAUUUCACAAUCCGAUUUGAUUGUUUUUUGACCAUGUUUCUUAAAUUGUUGUCAUGACUUUAACACUUCUCAAGCUCAGAGUCAAACUUCAGUUAAAACUUAAGUCAGAGUUCGACUUCUUCUCAACGUACUCGUACAACGAUUUUUCCAAACUGUCACAUGUUAGGCCAAUUGUUGAAUUUAUAAACUUAGUCAAUGUCUGCUUUUUUUAUGCACAAACAUGCUUUGAGUUUUUUUACGCACAAAUUAAAAAUACAUAUUGCAUUAUUCUUUAUUUCAUGUGCAUAAUUUGUGUUAGGAAACAUAUUGCAUCACUAUUUGGAAAAUAACUAAAUUCAAUCAUAACCAGUUUGGAUUGUAUUAUGAGAGUUGCACCAAAUGUUCGAAGACAUCAAUGUCAAAUGGUGCUGGCUAUAUAUGCACAUGCGGAAGUGAUGCUUAAUUUCCAUUUGUUUCAACAAUGUUAAUUGGUCAACGGGGUGCAUAUAAUGUACAUGCAUGCAUUUAUCUAGACUUUAUAGGAAGAUAAUAGGAUGAUAAAUUAGAAGUCAUGUUACAUUUUCUUUAGCUUAAAAUUAGUUAUGCUACCUUUAUUUUAUAAAUUAUAUGUAACUAUAUUCGCAUACAUCUUAUCCAUGUAAAUAUGCAUUAGACUAAUAUUGCAGUUAUUUUCCUGUUUAGCAUUUCCCAAACGAGGUGUCAAGAACAAUUCUGAAAGGAAAGCACAAAACAAUCACUCUCAUUAAUGACCAGACAC